UGUGAAAGGGGGAAGAGGUUCCUCCAGGGCUGUAGCAGGUUCCUCAACAUCAAACCAAUCUGUUGUCUCCAGGACUCUAAGCAAGCCAAAACAGGCUGAUCAUGCCCCCGAGGAACCAAAACAGCCUACUGAUCAGGACUCAGAAGGAUGGCCACCUCCAGUGAUUCUGGUGUAAGCAAUUGUUCAACAUCACAUGAGAAGUCUGUGGACUGCAUUUUGGAAAUCACGAUCUGAUGAACAAGAGCCCCUUUGCUGGCACAUUAAGCUACAGAUCUCUGAAAGGAAAAAGGUACACCCUAAAUACCUUGCGAGUUGUUUGUUUCAGUGUAGUGUUCUCCACACUGGACAUGCAUA